GAGUUUUUCAAGUGAAUUGAAAACGAACGAAUAUUAUUUCACAUUUGGCAACGUUUCACUUAUUGGAAGAAGACAGCUUUGCCACGCAGCAGAUAGGGAAAACACAUUCGAGAGUAGUCGGUAGCCAAUGCGAUAUAACUGCUGCAGCAACAUGUUUGCACAGUGUGAUGGGCAACAAAUCUUGUCGAUUCGCAAAAGACAGUCAAACUGCCAAUAAAUUGGCGCUUUCGAAAUUGAGAUGAAAAAGAAGCAAUUUUUCGUAUAUUUUCGCUAAAUUUACGAAUACGAGCUGACCGUUUGAAGCAUUAAAAUGUUGCUAAAGCAGCGCUGAAGCUGUAUAUUGUUGGCGUUUAAUAAAUUUUCUUGUAAUUAGAGCCGAAAUAGCCCCUAAGAUGUGCAACAACGAACGCUGUGGUCGUUUCAACUGAAAUGUGCAACGCUACAAGUCUAUAAGGCAGAGGGAAGAGUGGCAGCGAGGAGAAGAAAAAAUAAAAACGUAAGCUGUGAUUGCAUAAUUGUCGCGCUUGAAUGAGAUUGCAGCUGUGUGGCCGCAUUGGCAUAGUGAUAAAGGUGACUUAUGUGGGCGUAGCUGCAGCCACCCACCCAAUACUAGAAAUAGUUAAGGCGCUACUCUAUCCUCCACGACGCUCUAUCUUUCGUUGAUCACAUCAUAAUUCCACGCAUGAUUUGCCGAAGCCUCUGUAGUGUGUCUCCAGAGCAGAAAGAUACAUGCCUUCAUUACAACACAUUUGCUUAAAUAAUUUCGUCGCAACACAGCCCUCCGGUUGCCGGCUCUCUCAUUCAGCUAUACAAAGCAGCUGCGCAUGCGCAUUGCGUGCAACAAUGUAUACAAACAUGAAAUAGUAUUGAAUCAGACAUCGAAGUCGCUUAUUAUUUCAUUGAAUUAUGAAAAUUUGCUUAUUUCUGCGAAGAGAGGUGGGCGCUGCCGUGUCGCAUUCAAAUUUGCUGCCACUCCAAUUUGCCAGAUCGCAAUAAAGAUGCUUAAGGUUUAAUACAAAAAUGUUUAGAUUGCUCUGAUAUCACCUGGAAUCAAAAUCUAUAUAUCUAUAUGGGCAGUCAUUAUAUAAUCUCGAUUCCAACCGAUGGUCUAUGCUUUGGGAUGCGUAAUAAAGGCGAUUUUCGAAAAAGGGAAGAAUUUGAAAAAGAAGAAUAUGUUCUUACAUCAAGACCAUAAACAGUACAACAAGCUGUUCUUGUCGUUUAAAUCGCCAGUGAAACCUGUCGCACUACAAUUACUCCUGCAUCUGUCUUCAAGGUCGAGGUGGUUAAGCGCAUUUAAAAGGUGGCAAGCAUAUCACGAUUGAAAAAGAAUUUUUGGCUGGCUAUGAGCCAGAUAGCAGUGUGCAACAUAUAGAAGAAAUACUAUAGAAAUUUAUUUUUAAACGAUGGAAAGUAGAACCUGUUUUGUCUUAUAAACUUAUAUUAAUAUCUUAUGCAUUUAUAGAUGUAUAAAUGAAAUUCAAAACUGGUCUAGGGCUAUGAAAGCCCGACCCCUAUUCUAUGUCAAGCUUUUUUCAUAGAAACAUACUCGGGCGUUCAACAUUGUUCUCGAAGGAUCGACUAAAGCUAAAUCUGCGUAAAUCUAAAAUAAAUGAAAAUAGCUGGUGUAUUGUUUUACUGAGGUAACCUAAAAAUUACUACAGCAUAGGAAUAAGGAAUCAAAGCUGGCAUGGGUGCGAAGUAGUAAAGGCAGGUUUCAAGGUCAAUAUAGUCGAUCUUAAUAAUUGUGAUCAAAGAAUUGUGGGAACAGAAAUCAUAAGAAAAUAUUAACCAAGUAUUUCAAAACUCAAAUUAAAUUUGAAAAGGCAUAAAAAAUAACAAAAAAUGUGAAAAAUUAAAGAAGGAAAAGAAGUAGAUGAGUGGUACACAAAAUGAAAAUCAUAGAUCAGACUUUUUUGUCAGUAAAAUCGGUCUUCUUAGCGAAUAAUCACACUACAUAUGUAGAUACACCGAAUAAUUUGUUCAAAAAUGUCCAAGUCGAUUCGGUUAUUUUUCUUAAAAUAACAACAAAAAAUAACUAAAAGCAAACACAUGUCUGCAACAACAAAUCAGUCAUACAAACAUACAUACAUAGUUUUUAAUCUUCAAUUAUCAUUUGUAUGCUUCUUCCAUGACCUCAAAUAUUAAUUUGCUGACACGCCAGCUUAACAACAACAAAAAAAAUUCAUUUGGAUAACAAAUAUUAAAAUUUAAAUUUUUGGUGCUGUGAGCGUGUACUGUGAGUACGACUUCAAAUGUUUUUGAUUAUCACACAUUUGUAUUAACAACACUCUCAUCGAAUCGGCUGCUUCAUCAUUCACUUAGUAGACGAGUCAUAAAAUUAACUUUUUUAGCACCAAACCAGCAGCCGCCGUCAAAAUAGCAACAACAAAUGCAACCGGUUAAGGAAUAGUAACAAAAUGAUUGUAAAAAAAUUAAAAUACGAUAAAUACUAUAAACUGAAACUAAAAACCAAAUGAGAAGCAAAACUAGCGCCAGUUUAUUAAAAGUGAAUUUGACCACAAAAAAUCGGGGGAAAAAACUCGGUCGAUGCUCCAAACAGCAGUGACGUGAGAUUGGGUAAUACUUUUUUCUCACUUUUUGCCAUGAGUUUCGGUUUUUUUUUUAAUUUUAAACGGCGAUUAGAAAAUAACGCUGCAUAAUUAGCAUAAGCGCAGCUACCGCAGUCAUUGAGCUUAUGGUAGGUCAAAAAAGCCAGAGGCGAUGCUGAAUGGCGAAGAGCAAAAGUAUAGAAGCGACCUCUACAGUGAGCUUCUGUGCUUUGAGGCACGUCAAAGUUUGUCAGAAGACAACUCAAGCGUUUAAGUACGAAAAAAUACACAUAUAUAAUAUAUCUAAAAUUAUGUGCAGCGAACAACAAAGACUUGACAUGAUUUUAUCUACAGCACUAGAUAACAAAAACAAACCAAAAAAAGAAAAGCAGACAAAAAAGUCAUAAAAAUUAUUUGUAUUUUUAUUUUUACAAUUAUUUCAUUUUGAGCAGUGAAAGUCGUUUAAUAUUUUUGCCACAAAAUAAAAUGGAAAUAGCUUUGUUUGGCAGCAAUUGUUGUUAUUACUGUUGUUACAGUAGCAAUUGCUGUUGACAUUUCGAAGCGUACACGCGUAUAAUUUGACUGCAUUUCAAUGCUGUCCGGCUUUGAUAGUGCAAGGAAACACACACACACAUACGUAUAUACCAUAUAUACAUAUGUAUAUACCAAAACAUAUAGUAUACAAAAACAGAUAGUAUAUAUUUAUUUGCUAUUUCACCUGCUGUUGCAAGCGCGGUGAAGACACAGCAAUUAAACCGCAUUUUUCAACAACUUUAUGAUUCGCAGCCAUCUCUUAUUCCGCUACAAGUUAUUGCAGUUUUGGUCAUCAUGUGACUAUAAUGACAGAAAAGUCGGCAGAUACUUGGACAAUUGUUCGUUAGCGGGCGAUUGUUUUCCGGCAAAUUUUGUUUUCUUUCAAUUUUCAUUUGAAAUGUGCGAUGAAAGUGAAAGAUACUGGUUUGAAAUGUAAUUUCGUAGAAAAUAUCAAAAUGAUGGCACUUGAAAAUGUGAAAAUUGUUGAUGUAAUGGAAACAAAAAUAAAAUUAUUAUGAUCUCUAUGGUCAGUUUGUUUAUUUAUUGUAAUGAA